CUCCGCCCCUCCUGGGUCCUCUCUGCCCUGCGCACUGGCCCCGGGGGCGAGGAGUUGGGCGGGAAAGGCAGAAGCCUCAGCGCCAGGAACUGGAGGGAGGCAUGAGAGUCCGCCCGACUUCGAGCUGCAGCCAUCUCGGCGGUCCGCUCCCCGGGAAUGCGGUGGCCGUAGGAGCCGCUGCCGCUUUCGCAACUACCACAACCGCAGCCGCGGGAGCAGCCACCACGCGCCGGGCGCCCAUGGCGUCAUCACGCCGCGCCUGCCAGACCCGCCCCCAGACCCUGCCGCGCGACUCCGCCUUCCGGCCUGGGAGCGGGUUCCAAGUCCCGCAUUCUCACUGUGCUUCCUAAAGGGGCGCCAGUUCAGAGCCAGAGCGGGAUGACUCGGAGCUUCAGUGGUAACUCGGUGCCCAAGCCUAGUCGAAGGCGCGGAGCGUAGGCACAGGCCUGCGGUCAGAGAGGGGACCGCAGGUGAGAGUGAGCCGAGUCGCUUGGACUUCUGCUUGCCCUAGGAAGUGGACUGCUGGAGGUUGGAGGGGCGGAGUCGCCUCCUUCCCAAACCUUACAGUUUUUCGCCUUUUCCUUCGCUGCGGGUUGUCGAAAUCAGACGAGGGCCACUGCCUUGGGGAAUACUUGGUGUUGUCACUGGAGUGGCGGAUGCAGUGGGCAACCUUUCUCAAAAGUUAGGUUGAAUUUUCCUCUUGCCCUUAGCUUUGCUAAGAAAUGUGGGCACAAGGCAGUACUUUGAUCUGAAACACGUCCCUGUUACGCAAGUAUCGCAAAAGCACUCGCCACUAUAGGUAGUUUUCCUAUGGAGAAUAUAGCAAUGCAGGAGAAAGAGCACGCUGAUGUCCGCUUGCAAUCCGUUUGCUGUACAAGGCGAAUCUACCGGGCAACCGACACCUUGCUUCAGGAUACACUUGGAUCAUUGCAGCUCCUGAGACUGCAGUACACUCUCCUCCUUUGUACUUCCAAUAUGAUGACCAAUUCUUAGAGGAUGUACUGCCAAACAAAGCCACCAUGAGACAAGCACCCUGAAAUACUUCAUUCUUGGAUAUCCAGAAACCACAUGUGAGUCCAAUCCACAUAGAUGAGCGGCAGCUACAGGACUUAGGCACCAGGAGGCUGCAGGCCCUAGGACAUUUAUGGGCUGCCCAUCUCAUGAGAGGAGGCACUUGGGCCAAUUCUAAAUGUCCUAGGGAGUCAUUAUAAGAUUUUUACUGGAGGAGGACAGUCUCUGAAUCUCAGUCAGUUCAAACUUCCUGUGAUGCAGAGUGGGAAAAACAGCCAAGAGGGUAAGUGACUUUCCCUAGAUCUCAUUGUGAUCCAGGGUUGAAUUGUGUCAGUCUUCAUCUUUCCCCUUCUAAUGACUAUUUCAUCCCUAAGUUUGUGUGUUAGGGACUUUUGACGCCAGCCUUAGGGUUUCAGACGUAAUACAGGUACUUAUGGGCAUGUACCCCUAAUGAUAUCCUUGGAAGUACAUGCUAGAAGGACCCUCAAGGAGCAAGCAGGGAGACUGGGAAGGACCUGAGAGGUUCAAUGACUUGCCUAAGGUCACACACCUGGAAAGAACAAGGGGCUGGUCUGAAUCCACCUGUGUUUCCCCAAAGGUGCACCCAGGCCUGCCAGGGGGAAAUUGGGCCAGACAUAACAGUGUCCAUUUAUGCAUAUGUCAUGGGGAAAAAAGGGCAAACCAGCAUCCUAGGAGUCCUUUGGGGGCAGUCUUUUGUGAAGAAGAGGAUCAGGUAAGGGACCCAAGGAAAUAACCUCACUUCUUUGACAAUGAACAGAAGGGUCUGGGGCUUCACUGGGAGACAGGGGACUUCUGUUCUGAAUAGACUGGGAACCUCAACUAGCUCACUUGUCAAGAUGACAGAGGGUGAUGAUCUCUUUUUGGCUCCCAAAUCACCAAGGUUCAGGCCUCAGAAAACCAUUGAGGGGGACCUCACCCAUAUUGAGAUACUGGGUCAACCCUUGCCUGUGACACCUCUAGAGAUUUUCUUGGAGGAGCCCAGAAGUGACACAGAACUGCCCCGGGCAGGUCAGCACAGGCCAGCCUACCACUCUAUUCCCUGCAACAGCCCCAGAGUCAAUCCAGGUAUGUGUCUGCAAGUGCGUGAUUAUGGACAAAACAUUUUUGGUGCUAUUUUCACUUCACUUGCAUUUUGUAGUUUGUUGCUGUGUACAUGUUAGAACUAUCCCUUCUUGGUCCUAACCUAAGAUAAAAGUAAAUCACCCUGGUUGAGCAUAUCAGGGUGAGGAUCCUGGAGGCAGGCGUGAUAGGAACCUCCUGGUCCCUAACCUCUGGAUCAAGGACCCCUUCUUCAUCCCCACCUUCCUGCAUACCUUCUGAAGAUUCACCAUCACCCAGCAAGUGCUAGAUCUGCUGUACAAGAGGUGCACACCACCUCCAAGCCCAGGAGAACUUGCCCCCUCCUGACUGGGUCUUGGGAAAGCCCUGUAGUGCUCAGAGCCCCAGUCAACUCUGUGGAUACUGAGAUUUCAGAGGAAUAUCAUUCUAGGGUGUUUUGAGGACCCUACAAGUGGGGUGAGCCCUACAAGUUUUUGUCCCAGGCCUAGCUAGCCCUAUGGAAUGUGCUCCCUGGGCUGUGUGGGCUUCUUUGUGUGACUGUCACCUUACCUGCUCUCUGAGACCUAAAGCAGAGAGUUUCCCCAAUUGGAAAGAAGGUUGAGAACUCCUUCUGGGAGGGACUGUAAUAACCUAGAUGUAGCCAGAACGGGGAUGUCUGGGGUGGACUAAGAAACCCUGGGCCGAAUGAGAUAUCUGGGAAGGAGCUGGUUGACUUCGUUCAUUGCACAAGCAUGUAUGAAGCACCUACUAUGUUCAAACACAUUUCCAAGCACCUAAUCAUUUAGGGAGGAGUACAGCUAUACUGCCCAGUGCUCCUGGGUUUCAUUCCUUUGGGAAGUUAGCCCUUUUCACUAGGCAUCCUGGCAGGUAAGGGGCACAGGACAUUCAAUGUAACACUUCUGGUCCCCUGUAGGUAUGGAAUCUUCCACCCAGAUUGUGAGGAGGAGGAUGAAUAAAUAAAGCAGUGGAUGGCCUUGGAGUCAGUAGGGAGGGCUCCUGUCUCCAGAGUGGAGAUACUUGGGAGGCUGGGUUGGAGGACAUCUGGGCAAACCCAGGGCUCCCACACUUGUUUGGAUUCAUACUAAAGGGCUGAGGUCAGAGGCUUCACCUGCAGGAAGAGGAUAGAAACAGCUAUAGGUGGGGCCCUGGGCACACAGUGAGCAGAGGGGAGGCUGGGGCUCAGAGAUAUGCCCUAUGAGGAUCCAUUCCCACCAUAGCCCAUCCCAGCCAGGCUUGCACACAUCCUGGAUUGAGGCUGGACAGGAGAUAUAGGCCUCACACCUCUGCCCUCUGUGCCCGUCUGAUGUCCUCCUAUAGGGAUAGGGUCUGGGGCUUCACUGGGAGGCAGGGGACUUCUGUAAAUGGGAAAGGCUCAGGGAAAGUGAGUUAUGUUCAGGACCUUUUCUUCUGCAGCUCCAGUGCCACCUCCAGAUAUAGAGCUGCCCCUGAAGCAGCCUUCCCAAUUCAAUUCUUAGAUUUGAGACAGCCCAGAGACAGAGCACUUGAGCUUGAGAAAAAGGAACAGUCAGUGAUACCAGCAACACUGGAGGAAGGGUUAGCUAUGGCACCAUCACCAGAGGGACAGCAUGACAGCAUGAGUCACCAGAGGACAUGAGGCUACCUGUGAAUCAGGCAGCUCAGUUCCAAGCAUCCAGGCCACCAGAGGACAUGCCACAUCUGGUAGCACAUAUUCUAACAACUGUGGAUAAUGAGGCAGCUGGGGCCACCUCUGUGGAGAUAGCCAUUUCUCCUUCUGGUAGCUGAUCUUCCAGCUGUGGGUGAUCUAGAGCUUGCAGGUCUAGAAGCAGCCCAGGCAGUGGGGAUGGCUCUGUCCCCUGAGUUCAGUGAGGGCAGAAGAAAAAACACACACGCGCUGUUUACUGACGUGCACCCUUGGAUAUGGUGUUUACAGCAGACAGCAUCCUGUUUAAGACUUGAUGGAGAACUACAUGUACCUCAUGGGUGUGAAAACUUCCACUCAAAACAGGACUUCUUAAUACCAAGGAAGUAACAGUCUAUGCAAAAGCCUGGCUAAAUUACCCAAAGGUUCUGGGCUAAGGUGUUGUUCUCAGACUCUGGCCCUCUCGCCUCAAUACAUAGGUGUUUAGCUUUUUCAGUGUAAUUUCCUUUGUAUUUGAGUCAAGAAGAAUCAUAAGCAAUUAAAAGGUAUAAUGGUGAUGUAAGGGCCCAUGUCAACCAUUGUGACCAGAAUCAAGUGAUUAAAUGCACUUUUCCUCUUUCCAAGAAGUCAAGGCUUUGAUAACACUUGGAAGUUCAUGAAAUGCCAGAAGCCACUGCUAUGUCCUAUUAAUGGCCUUCCCCACUGAGCUCACACAUGCCUGGAAUUGACCUCAGGAAAGAACAGACCUCUGGGCAUAAGACAUGAAUACACAGUUAGACUUUUAAAAUUCAGCAAGUGAAGUGGUUCCCCUUCGGAGGACAUGGUGAAAAUAAAUACUGUCAACCCAACUCACUUGGGUAGAACUAAAACAAGGAAAAGCUUCAGAUUAGCAAUGGCUUAACACUGGCCUGUGCUCACCUGAAAGCCAUUACCUAGAACUGUUUGAAAGUGUGGUGAUGGGUAUUGGGUCAAUUUCAUUUAGAACAAUAAAUAUCUUGUUGCAGAUGUGAUGUUUUUCGCUGGGUGCCGUGGUGCACACCUGGAAUUCCAGCUACUUAGGAGGCUGAGACAG